rnacentral:rRNA from 1 species
GAUGAACGCUGGCGGCGUGCCUAAUACAUGCAAGUCGAGCGAACAGACGAGGAGCUUGCUCCUCUGACGUUAGCGGCGGACGGGUGAGUAACACGUGUAUAACCUACCUAUAAGACUGGGAUAACUUCGGGAAACCGGAGCUAAUACCGGAUAACAUGUUGAACCGCAUGGUUGAACAGUGAAAGACGGUCUUGCUGUCACUUCUAGAGAGAUCCGAGCCGGAUGAUCUAGUUGGUAAGGUAACGGGUUACCAAGGGAACGAGGCCUAGGCGAGCUGAGAGGGUGAUCGGCGGCACGGGAACGUGGACACGGUCCAGACUCCUACGGGAGGCAGCAGUAGCGAAUCUUCCGCAGAGGGCGAAAGCCUGACGGAGCAACCGCGAGUGAGUGAAGACGGUCUUCGGUGCGUAAAACCCUGUUAUUAGGUAAGAACAAAUGUGGAAGUAACUAUGCACGUCGUGACGGUACCUAAUCAGAAAGCCACGGCUAACUACGUG